GGAAGCUUCCGAGGACCAAUCACGCACAGCCUUUGCAACAGAUUACUACAGGCUAAUUCCCUACAGAGAACAGUCAGUCAGUUACCUUUUGCUUCCACAGGGCAUUGCCAGCUACCAACCAAGGAAAGAUGAGCUACUCCACUGGAUUGUUAAAGAGCCCCACCAUGGACCAUAAUUACUAAGGGGAUGCAUAAACUCAGUUCUGCUUUCUGCUUCUGUAUCCAUGAAGCCCACCGAGUAAGUGGAGUUUGCCAUUAGCAGGGUCUCUAAGUACCCUUUUGGAUUGACUUCUUCCUCUUUGUGACUUGCCAGGAAGUGGGUCUGAUAGUAGUUACCAGACAAAAACAUGCAGAAAAACUUCAUUAAUAUAAAAAUGCAAGCUGAAGAGAAUAAGACAUAAACAGACAGGAACAUUUUACAAGGCCCAGGAAAUCAAAGUCGUGCAGGAUUCAGCUUACAGUCAUCUCCUGAUUAUCCAUCAAAAUGGAAGUAAGGCUAACUGGGAUAACAGGUAAUCUUGAUCAAGUACUCACUGUAUUCGAGACACUGUGCUAAGCCUUUUUUACGUGUGCUGUCUCACUGAAUCUUCACAACUACCCUAUGAGAUGAUAAAGGCUGCACCAGGAGGCUAGAUAACUUGCCCAAUUGCACAACUUGUGGUGGAAGAGGCAGAGUUCAAUUCCAAGUCUCCUGGAUUUCAAAUUCAACACUGUCUGCUGCUGCAGGGUGUUCAGCUCAUUACCCACAUUGAUGUUCUCACUGAAUGCUCCCCCUUAAGUCCCUGAAUCUCAAGAAGGCAACUCACAACCAACAGCAUCAACUAAUCUUGGGCUUCUCUUCCCAAAGAAAGAUCAUUGGCAGUAAGGCCCAAACAAAGGCAAAUGUGACGGGAUCCAUGGACAAUGUAGGGACUUGUCUCUGCAGGCAAAUGAUACAUACUCUGUGCAUCUUAAAAUUACCUUUGUGUCUCUUAUAGAGCUAGGCGUAGCAUUUAGUAAGCAUUCAAUAAAUGUCUGCUGAAGAAAUGCAUAAAUGAGAGCAAAUGAGGAGUCUAAGGACCUGGAAAGUAAGGCUAGUUACGGUACUAGCUGUGGAUAACCAAGAGUUGACUGCAGUUAACAUAUUUACCAAUAAGAAAAAUGAUACAAAUUCUUUCCUUCACAAAUUCACAGACCUAUGUAAACAUCAAUUAAAAAAAUUACACACACACACACACACACACAAGCACAUUUCUUGAGAAGGCAAGCCAGAUUCAACACUUAAAAUGUACAUAAGCAUAUUAAUACAAGGUAUCAUGCAAACCAUGAAAAACACAGUGUGCAAUUCAUCCCUGAAGGAACUACCUUUAAGGAAGAAUAAAGAAUCGGCAGAAAAUGCUCUGCAAGAAACCAAGACAAGGGCUAAAAGGAGAAAAAAGCAGACAGAGACCAUCACCUGGAGAACUUUAGGGAGUUAAGCUGUAGUUAAAUAGAAGCUGCUCUUUACUGAAAACUUACCUUAGGAACAUAAUGUUAUUAGAACCUGCACCAUUCUUAUAUGGACACAUUUUACCAUCAUUCUGACUAGGUUAAGAUGUACCACCUUCCAUUACCUAUUAAUUCAACUCAAAUUAUUUUCACCUGUAUUACCUUACUUGGUCCUCACGACUCUGUGAGGCUGGCAGGACUUGCAACAAGACAAAGAGUAAUAUUAACAUUAAAGUUAAUUAAAGUUAAUAUUUGCUGGUGGCAGGAGAAGGGGACUAUUAUAGUUUAAAUAGCACCAGAAGUUUUACUUCAUUGUCACUACAUUUCUUUUAUAGACUAAUUGACCUACUACCUGAAGAAUUACUUUAUGAAACUGGAAAGCAUUAUACAACUGGAGAAAAUAUUAUCACCAAAUAGUCUGCAGAAGAUAAUGGAAAGUGUUUUUCAAAAGUAGGCUCUUAGAAUAAGAUCCAGAAUUUUUUUUGUAACAUAGUAUAGUCUUUUGGAAUAAUGAAAGAAGAACAGGCAAAUACAUAUGCAAUACUCAACUCUCCAACAACUAAACAAAAGUGAAAUUAAAGCAAUGAGAUUCUACUUUUUUCCUAUCCUAUUUACACGUUCAAAAUAAUAAUAUCAAGUGGGGAAUUGGGCUCUUUCACUCACUGCUGUAGAAGUAUAAAGCUGUUAUAAGCUUUUAAUGUUUACUAAAAUUUAAGAUGCAAAUUA